UUAUAUUCAUUACAUGUAUUAUCUGUGUGAGCCCACAAUAUUUCAGAUCCAGUGUCUUUUUAAUAAUGAGUGUCUUUUCCAUAAUCGAUUUUACAAAUAAGCAGUAAGUAAAAAUGUAUUAUCUGUAUGAGCCCAUGAUACUUCAGAUACAAUGUCUUUUUUAUUGAUGUCUUUUUUGUAUAUAAUGAGUGUCUUUCUAAUCAUUGAUUUUCACAAUUAAGCAUUUAAAGUAAAAAUAUUAAAAUAUAAAUAUGUACUGCUCUAUAUUAUCUCUAUAAAUCAGUUUCUGACUUAUUUUGCUAGGAAGAAACCAUCCCUUUUUGCACUUAGUGGGUAUGUAGUCUGCAAUAUUGAAUGAAAGCACCAAUUUGCACUAUUUUAUGCUGGAAGCUAUCAAUAAUAUGUACCUAAUAUAUUGUAUUGAAUAAAAGACUACAUAAAUCAGUUAUACAAAGGAUCAUAUUAUGCUUUUAGUGAAUUUCCAGAGAGUCAUAAAACCUAUAAAUCAAUGUAUUUUUUAUAAAUUCAGUGUCAGUGGGUUUAAUUAAUUCUAUUUGCCUGAAUAAAAUUAAUGAUGUGUUUUAAAUAUUUGAAUUUAAAACAAAUAUUCAGAAUGACGUCUUUUAUGUUUAUGGUGUUAAAAAAUAGCUGUUAGUUAGUUAGUGGAUACUGUGCAUAUGCCAAGCUAGUUUGAUUCAAAGCUGAAGUCUCUGGAAUUGAAUUGUGAGAGUAAGAGAAGAUUAAAGCACCAGAGUGCACUGGACUAUUUCAAGUGAAAGGAUCCAGUAGCUUUGUACAAACUUCCAGUUGGGUACAGCUGUCAGUAAUUAUUAAUCUCAUUUCAGAUAUGAAACACCACGGAAUCAGUAUUGCUGUGGCCUUAUCUUUUCCUGUACUGAUUUUUUUCCUGCUCUCCUUGAUAAAAUACAACAUACAGUGCAAGAGGGCAGAACAUUUCUGUGUGGAAUAGUACUUUCAAAUCCCAUAGAAUCUGGAGAGAAGCCAGUUCGAGAGAAAAAUAAGAAUUUUUACAUCAUUUACCAACAUAUUUAUAUUAGGCACAGCGUAAACAUAUCAACUGAAAGUAUUCAGUUGAUAUGUUUAUAAGUAUUCAGUGGGACACUUUGGAGAUAUCACAAAAACUGAAGACCUUAGAGAUUUGAGGUACUUCCACUUGAAAUUCUAUCCAGCUAAUGACUGAUUACUGGUUAUUUGAAUAGUGAGAACAACAUACCUAUGACUAAUAAAUGUUUAUGAAUAAAGACA
ensembl:lncRNA